rnacentral:rRNA from 1 species
GACGAACGCUGGCGGCGUGCCUAAUACAUGCAAGUAGAACGAAGUUGCGAAAGGAAGAGUAACGCGUAGGGACCUCACUGGUAGAGGGGGAUAACUAUUGGAGACGAUAGCUAAUACCGCAUACUCCCAGAUGGAACUGCGUUGUAUUAGCUAGUUGGUGAGGUAACGGCUCACCACGGCAACGAUACAUAGCCGAUCUGAUGAGGUGAUCGGCCACACUGGGACUGAGACACGGCCCAGACUCCUACGGGAGGCAGCAGUAGGGAAUCUUCGGCAAUGGGGGGAACCCUGACCGAGCAACGCCGCGGGAGUGAAGAAGGUUUUCGGAUCGUAAAGCUCGGUUAUUAAGGAAGCGGUACUGAACCAGAAAGGGACGGCUAACUACGUGCCAGCAGCCGCGGUAAUAC